rnacentral:lncRNA from 1 species
CAAAGGAGUCCACAUAUGGUCUGAAAACUGCCUCCCUAAGAUUAGUCAACUGGCCAGCUGGAGCCCCAGGCCAGUCUUGUGCCUCCAAAGGAUUUGGCAGGUUGUUUGCAUGAAACAUGAUCACUACUACCGAGCCAUCCUUUUACUCCUGCUGAGUAGUGCCUGGCUGCAUCUUCAGUCUUUGUGUUGACAGCCACAUUGUUCCAUUCUCCAUAAGAUGAAGGACCUCUCGGACUGUGCUCCUUACCUCAUAAUGAGAAUUACCAGCAGGCCCGGAUGGAUUCCUAAACAACGUGAGCCUGCUGGCCUGGAAAAGUCUUUAAUAAUAAAUGAUGAGGAAAGCAGAAGCGGACUUUGACUUCUGGGCAUUGGAUGGUGGGCACAGCCAAUGUGUGUCUUGAAUGGAAUAAUGACGGUCUUAAGAUUCAUUUUCCGUGAGCCACCUCUGAACAUCACCCCAGUGAAGUCCUUUGGUGCCGUUUUGCUGAUGGAAGAAGC